GAUGAACGCUGGCGGCGUGCUUAACACAUGCAAGUCGAACGGGAAAUACUUUAUUGAAACUUCGGUCGAUUUAAUCUAUUUCUAGUGGCGGACGGGUGAGUAACGCGUGGGUAACCUGCCUUGUACUGGGGGAUAACAGCCAGAAAUGGCUGCUAAUACCGCAUAAGCGCACGGAGGCGCAUGUCUCUGUGUGAAAAACUCCGGUGGUAUAAGAUGGACCCGCGUUGGAUUAGCUAGUUGGCAGGGCAAUGGCCUACCAAGGCGACGAUCCAUAGCCGGCCUGAGAGGGUGAACGGCCACAUUGGGACUGAGACACGGCCCAGACUCCUACGGGAGGCAGCAGUGGGGAAUAUUGCACAAUGGGGGAAACCCUGAUGCAGCGACGCCGCGUGAAGGAAGAAGUAUCUCGGUAUGUAAACUUCUAUCAGCAGGGAAGAUAAUGACGGUACCUGACUAAGAAGCCCCGGCUAACUACGUGC
rnacentral:rRNA from 1 species